UACGUAGGGGGCUAGCGUUAUCCGGAAUUACUGGGCGUAAAGGGUGCGUAGGUGGUUCCUUAAGUCAGAGGUGAAAGGCUACGGCUCAACCGUAGUAAGCCUUUGAAACUGGGAAACUUGAGUGCAGGAGAGGAGAGUGGAAUUCCUAGUGUAGCGGUGAAAUGCGUAGAUAUUAGGAGGAACACCAGUUGCGAAGGCGGCUCUCUGGACUGUAACUGACACUGAGGCACGAAAGCGUGGGGAGCAAACAGG
rnacentral:rRNA from 1 species